GCCUUUGUCGAUUGUGAGUGUUUUAGCAAUAUUUAUUGAAUUCCAGUUUGCUAAAAAAAAGAGGCGAAAAUCGUAAAUGGAAAGAAAAACGGAAAUAAUAAUAAAGAGCGAUGCGCAAAAGAUGAGGAAGGAAAGCUAACAAAAGCAUCACAAUGCAUAUUUCUGCCAACUGGCAGAAAAUUCCAAACGCGACAAAAUGAAUUCUUUUGUGACAAGUUCAGUUGAGUUCAGUUCGGUUUGGUUCGGUUCGGAUUGGAGGAGAAGCUGAACCCCAAGAAGACUGAAAGCAACCCCAGGAAGAGGAAACUCAGGCACUUCAUAUGUGGGGACUGUGCACAAGGAAGAAGGGUUCAAAAGACAGUCAGGUGAAGGAAUGCAGCACCCAUUUUGUAAGAAAUUGAAAAAUCUAACAGUGCUUUGCUUGAAGCGUCGGCAAAAAUAAGCAGCAAAUGCGCUGCUUUAGUUCACAUUAUUGUCAUGGCCCUUGUGCAUGGAAUUUUUUAAUAAACGUUAAAGUUUAUAACAUUCUCUCGGCACUUACAUGCGAGAGUAUAUCGACAUGGACCCUACACGGCUUCUUUACGCCAAGUAAUAAGGGGAGGAGGAGAAAAUAGGGAGCGAGUGUGAGAGAGAUUUGCGUCUAAAAGACACACACAACAAGCAGAAACAGCGGCAGCGGCAGCAACAUCCAAAAAGAGAUGCAGAGACAGAGGGACAGGACCAAAACAAGGAUAUGCGUCUUUUGCGCCGGCUCGUAAAAGCCAAAGCCCCCAAAUGACAACGUCGCUAAAAAUUCUUAUCGCAGCGCCAAAAAUUAAGACCCACCCAACACAACACAACGGGAAAAAACCCUAGAAAUUUAUUGUAGCAAAGGUUAAAGAUGCGCCAUGUUAAAUGUGGAAAUUGUUUAAUCCAGAGCUUAGCAAUUACAAGGCACAGCGCUCAUGGUCAGCUGCAUGAAAUUGGACCUGACAACGCAUUCAAAAUAGAGAGACAGGGAAAAAACAAACCUUUCAAAGGUUCAGCAACGAAUUCUGCAUACACUACUUUAAAUAAAAAAUAUAUAUAUUAUGUUAUGCAACAAAAUUAAAAUAUACCCGACAGAAAACCAAUUGAAAUGAA